rnacentral:rRNA from 1 species
AGAGUUUGAUCAUGGCUCAGGACGAACGCUGGCGGCGUGCCUAACACAUGCAAGUCGAGCGAUGAAGCCCUUCGGGGCUGAUUAGCGGCGGACGGGUGAGUAACACGUGGGUAACCUGCCUCAAAGAGGGGGAUAGCCUCCCGAAAGGGAGAUUAAUACCGCAUAACAUUAGUUUUUCGCAUGAAGAACUAAUUAAAGGAGUAAUCCGCUUUGAGAUGGACCCGCGGCGCAUUAGCUAGUUGGUGAGGUAAAGGCUCACCAAGGCGACGAUGCGUAGCCGACCUGAGAGGGUGAUCGGCCACAUUGGAACUGAGAUACGGUCCAGACUCCUACGGGAGGCAGCAGUGGGGAAUAUUGCACAAUGGGCGAAAGCCUGAUGCAGCAACGCCGCGUGAGUGAUGAAGGCCUUCGGGUUGUAAAGCUCUGUCUUUGGGGACGAUAAUGACGGUACCCAAGGAGGAAGCCACGGCUAACUACGUGCCAGCAGCCGCGGUAAUACGUAGGUGGCAAGCGUUGUCCGGAUUUACUGGGCGUAAAGGAUGCGUAGGCGGAUAUUUAAGUGAGAUGUGAAAUUCCCGGGCUUAACUUGGGAGCUGCAUUUCAAACUGGAUAUCUAGAGUGUGGGAGAGGAGAAUGGAAUUCCUAGUGUAGCGGUGAAAUGCGUAGAGAUUAGGAAGAACACCAGUGGCGAAGGCGAUUCUCUGGACCAUAACUGACGCUGAGGCAUGAAAGCGUGGGUAGCAAACAGGAUUAGAUACCCUGGUAGUCCACGCCGUAAACGAUGAGUACUAGGUGUAGGAGGGUCCAACCUUCUGUGCCGCAGUUAACACAAUAAGUACUCCGCCUGGGAAGUACGAUCGCAGGAUUAAAACUCAAAGGAAUUGACGGAAUCUAAUGAAAUUGACGGGAAU